rnacentral:misc_RNA from 1 species
AAACUUGUAUUUUUAAUUCCUACUUCAUAACAGGAAAGUCCCGCCUUGACCCCAAACUCCUAUGAGGUGUGGGCUAGGUUGGGAGGAGUUAUCCUCGCCCCUAACUCGCUCCAUUGUCAUUUCUAGAUAAACCCAAUCAUUUUAUAUUUUAUCCUUUAAUUUUAUACUUUUUUAAUGUGGAAUGGAGUUUCAACACUCACAAGUUUAAUCGAAUUUAUUUAAAAUUAUGCUUUUAUAUAUUAAUAUAUAAUUAAAAAAAUAUCAAUCAAUUUCUAUUUCGAGUGACAUUCUAAACUUUUAAUCAUAGUUAUCGACUUCAACUUGUAUUUUGAGUAUCUCAUAGCUGAAUUUGGGGUCUAAAACUAAGUUCUACCUAGUUGAGUCAAGUCAUAUUUCGAGCUCAAACUUUGCAUUAUUGACUCAACUCAGCUUUG